CAAAUACGUAAGCUGCGACCGGGAUGAGCAGGCAAAGGCGCCCCGAUUCUGCCUCCGCGUCAUGGGGGAGAUCAGCUCGGCGCGGAUCUCCAACAUCCCAGCUCCGCAGGGCUCACCUCUCGCAAGAUAUGAGAUAGCUCCUUCAGGUCCGACUCUCUGAGCUCAUGUCGAAAGUGCAGGCACAGAUUACGUAACAGACUUGCUGCCACAUAUAUGUACUUGCUAUCAUGGAUCAAGAUCAUAUGUUUCAAUUUCUUAAUGAACUCUGGUUCCUGCAACACAAUCAAGCAAUUUUGGACACUUUCUGUUGUCAACAUUGCCAGUGCUUGCCCGACCUUCCGUGACAAGUGAUCAGCAUUGGUAAUCAUGGGAUUUUCUUCAUUGAGAAAUGUCUGCUUCAGCCUGGUGAUGAUCAGUUGAAUGCGACCAAUGUCCUGCCUUGUGUUCCCAUCAAUGGCAAUGUUCCUGAGGAUUCCGGCCACCAACUUUCUCGAUUCCUGGCUGCUUCUGUCGUCUUUCAAGAUUUCUGCAAGGUUUCUCAAUAGGAAGGGAUGUUUUGAUAUCUUGUACCGCAGUGUUAUGCCGAUUUCCCCGCCAAUGCCUGUGAGCCUUUGCAGUACCUUCAGUGAUGACUUCAACAUGACCUUUUGUUCUGCCUCGGUAUCCUUAGUGCUCAUGGCACGUAUGAAUCUCGUGAAUCCUAUGAUUUUCGGGAUGAGGUUAGCUGCUUUGCUUAUUUCCACGCAGUUUUCCUGAUCACCAGCAAGACUUUCAAUAAGUGACAUGGCCAGUGCAGGGAGAAGAUCAUGGUCUGUUGAUGGCUGUUCCUUGGGAAGUGAACGUAAUUCUUUAAUCCGCUGCCAGCAUCUGAUUAUGUAAGAUUUCUUUUUGUCGGCCAAAGGUUGUUGGGUCGAGCGUACUUGUGUUUCCUCGAGCAGAAGUGGAUUUCCUCUCUUUGGGCUGCUAUGAGCGUCAAGAAGUGCAGAUACAAUCUGCAUCGUGCCGGGGAAGGCGACAACACGGAGGUCCUUCGCAAGUUCAGCGGUGACCUUUGCGGCAUAUAAUCUGAUAGUUGUAUCCUUUGGACUUGUCCAAUCCAACAUCCUGAUUAUUCUGGCCACAGUAUUGGUGGAAGUGGUGAGUUUUGACAGGAGUUGUGCCCUGGUUGGCUGCCAUUGCAGAAAGCUGUGCAUCAGACGAAUACCGUGGAGCUGAUUCUUGGAUGAAUCCGAGUUUAGAGAAUCCAUGGCAAAGUUGGUCAGGCUGAUCUUCUUUGGAGCAAGCACACCCUCCUGCAUACAUUUCUCUAAGGCGUAUGCAUAGUACACAUUGACAGAUUCUACUCCACACUGACCUCUAAACCCACCACGGUGGACAAGGUAUCUCCGAGGGAUGAACGAAAAGAACUCGAGCAUGCAAGCCACAGAAUUGAAGAUUCCUUGUCCAAGCACCAUCCCAUAGAACAUUCUGAGAGGUGCUUUGAGGUUCUUAUUGUCCUUUCCAUACUUAGGCACAUACAGAAGGCCCAAGAUUGCUAGCACGAUACGCAACACGGCUGCUGGAAUCUGGAAGUUGCCAAAUGACAACACCGCUAAGGCACACACUUGGAUUAUCAUGCUCGUAGAAAUGUUCACGAAUACAUCUCGGCGUAGCAUGUACAUCUGCAUCCCUAGCACAGCAAUCAUGCACAAGUUUAUAAUAACCUGACGCCAAAAUACUUUUUUGCUGCCAAGAGUUCUGUCCACUAGUUUGAUGAUUCUUGUAAACCGUAGCCUGCUUAUUGUUACCAAUAGCACUGGCACAAGUAGUGUUGUGAACACUACCCAUCUGGUCAAUGGAUCUAUUUGAUUUUGACCCUCAUCAGCACCAUAUAUGUAUUGACGACUGCGGUCUGAUAGAGAGGGAGCCAAUAACAAGAUUGCAACUAAGGGGCUCCAUAGUGAUGUGGCACGGUGUAGCGGUUUGCAUAUGUGCAGUUUCAGCCCAGACAGGAACCGGCCAAUUGCAAGUAUUAUUGUCAUCAAUAGAAGCCCCAUAAGAGACAUGUAUCUAUCUUUCUUCAAGAGGAUCACGAAAACAUCAAAAAAGCAUACUACCGCAACCAGUCCAUUCCAGACCAUAUAGGUCUAAAAGCUCCCCUGGUGUUAAAGAACAGUUGGUAAUCCAGUCUGUUGUUGCGUGUGAACAUCCUGCAGUAUGUAUAUAAGGUGUCAUUAAAUGAUAGAAUAUGCACAUUAUGUAGAUCACAAACCUAAGAUGGUGAGCAUCCAGAUCAUACUCCAGUGUUUAAGAAAGAUAGACAUACGAUCUCAGAAGAUCGUAACAAU